GAUAGUGUUUUAUGUUCAGAUUAGAAUACCUGCCUGUCACGCAGGGGGUCGCGGGUUCGAGUCCCGUCCGUUCCGCCA
rnacentral:tRNA from 11 species